GGUCCGGUAGCUCAGUAGGUAGAGCAAUGGACUGAAAAUCCAUGUGUCGGCGGUUCGAUCCCGCCCUGGACCACCA
rnacentral:tRNA from 1 species